CAACCCCCCGCCCCCACCUGCCUCUCCUCUUACCUCAAUUUCGUUCGUUUUUGAAACCCCUCAGUUUUUGCCUUUAUUAUUAACGAUGGUCAUUGAGAUCAAGUAUGACGAUGAUGAAUAUGCACAAGCGUUUGCCAUCAAGGUCACCAAGUAGCUGCUCUCUGUUGAAGCGAGAGUCCUUCCUCUACCAAUGUACCAUGAUUCUGGAAAAUAGAAGACAUGCAGUCCAAGAGUGGGCGCGUGGAAUAUGAUCAAUAAGUUCCUCUCUACAAAGGGUGAAACAGGACAAAUCACAGUAAAAAAUGCCGCCUCUAAUGGCAAAGUUGAAGGGUCUUAAUAAUGUGCUCACUGAGAAAGAUAUCUCCACAAUCCUAGCCGAGUCAAAUCCUAACACAAGCAAGAAGAUAGAUUUAGAGUCAUUUCUUCGGGCCUAUUUUGAAUCUUCAAUCUCAUUCAACAGAAAAAGUGGGCGGUAAAAAGAAUACUACAUCUUUCUUGAAGGUCACAACAACGACGCUUCUCCAUACUAUUAGUCAAUCUGAGAAAGCAUCUUAUGUGGCACUUAUUAACAACCAUCUUGGAGAGGAUCGAUUCUUGAAAAAGUACUUGCCAUUAGAUCCAUAUAGAAACGGGCUAUUUGACCUUGCUAAGGAUGGAGUGCUCUUAUGAUAAGUUGUUUGUUGUCUUGCUGAACUCUCUCUCUCUCUCUCUCUCUGUGCUGUUGUCAAUUUCCAUAUUGUCGUCUUUUUAUUUGUAUGAUUCUUUCCUUUUGAUGGUUGGGAAUUUAUUUUCCAAUUUUAAUUGCCAAUUUGCCAAUUUCAGUAGGAAAAGAGAAAUUAUAGAUUUUUUUA